rnacentral:rRNA from 1 species
GGCUCAGGACGAACGCUGGCGGCGUGCUUUAGACAUGCAAGUCGAACGGAGUAGCAAUACUCAGUGGCAUACGGCGGAGUAAUACAUAAACAACGUGCCCUGAAGACUGGGAUAGCCAGCCGAAAGGCUGAGUAAUACCAGAUGUGGCCCCUUGGAGGCAUCUCCGAGGGAUUAAAUGGUUUUUCGCUUCAGGAGUGGUUUAUGGCCUAUCAGGUAGUUGGCGGGGUAACGGCCCACCAAGCCUACGACGGGUAGCGGGUCUGAGAGGAUGAUCCGCCCGAGUGGGACUGAGACACGGCCCACACACCUACGGGUGGCAGCAGUUUGGAAUAUUGCACAAUGGGGGAAACCCUGAUGCAGCGACGCCGCGUGGAGGAUGAAGGAUCUAGGUCUGUAAACUCCUUUUAUCGGGAAAGACUUAGGACGGUACCCGAUGAAUAAGCACCGGCUAACUACGUGCCAGCAGCCGCGGUAAGACGUAGGGUGCAAGCGUUGUCCGGAUUUACUGGGCGUAAAGGACGCGUAGGCGGUCCACUAAGUGUGAAGUGAAAUCUCCAGAGCUUAACUCGGAAACUGCUUCGCAUACUGGCGGACUAGAGGGAUGCAGAGGUAGCUAGAAUUCCUGGUGUAGCGGUGAAAUGCGUUGAUAUCAGGAGGAAUACCCAUGGCGAAGGCAGGCUACUGGGCAUCAUCUGACGCUGAGGCGUGAAAGCGUGGGUAGCAAACAGGAUUAGAUACCCUGGUAGUCCACGCCCUAAACGAUGGAUACUAGACGUAAGAGGUAUCGACCCCUCUUGUGUCGCAGCUAACGCACUAAGUAUCCCGCCUGGGGACUACGGCCGCAAGGUUGAAACUCA